rnacentral:rRNA from 1 species
UGAGGAAUUUUGCGCAAUGGGGGAAACCCUGACGCAGCAACGCCGCGUGAGUGAUGAAGGCCUUUUGGUUGUAAAGCUCUGUCGCCUGGAAAGAAACCUUGGGGUAGGAAAUGACCUCAAGUUGACGGUACCAGGAAAGGAAGGACCGGCUAACUCCGUGCCAGCAGCCGCGGUAAUACGGGGGGUCCAAGCGUUAUUCGGAAUUAUUGGGCGUAAAGCGCAUGUAGGCGGUUGGGUAUGUCAGAUGUGAAAGCCCGGGGCUUAACCCCGGAAGUGCAUUUGAAACUGCCUGGCUUGAGUCUCGGAGAGGAAGGUGGAAUUCCCAGUGUAGAGGUGGAAUUCGUAGAUAUUGGGAGGAACACCGGUGGCGAAAGCGACCUUCUGGACGAUGACUGACGCUCAGAUGCGAAAGCGUGGGUAGCAAACAGG